CUGAAUGAAUGGGAACGCAAAAAUACAAUUUGACGUUCUCCUUAUUUCACUUUCUUCCUCUGACUAUAUUUAAUAUAUAUCUCUGAGCUCUCCAUCGUUUUUAUCAUCAACGCACCCAACUCUGGAAGAAACAGGAAAUAAAGGGAGAGAUCAAAAUACAGGGCUGGCAGGGAUGAGCAAUGGAAUAGUAGAGAUGGCUCUCAGCAGCCUAGGCAAAGGAUUUGAUUUAACAUCUGAUUUUCGUCUCAAGUACUGUAAAGGCAAAGAAAGAUUAGUUCAGCUCAAUGAAGCAGAAAAAAGAGAGCUCUUGGUCCCUAGUUUUGGAGCUGUGAAAGACGUAUCCAUUGAUAUCAAGUGUGAUAAAGGUGAUCGAGUUCGAUAUCAAUCCGAUAUCCUAGAGUUUCAACAGAUGUCUGAGCUUUUCAACCAGAAAUCUUCUGUGCCUGGAAAAAUCCCAUCAGGGAUGUUUAAUGCUAUGUUUGGAUUUGAAGGAGGUGGUUGGGCAGCUGAUGCAGAGAACACUAAAUAUUUAGGACUUGAUGGCUACUUCAUUGUUCUAUUUGAUGUUCAUAUUGAUCGAUAUCCGCUAAUUCUCUCCGAUGAAUUCCUUAAGGCAGUUCCAUCCUCAUGGGAUCCUUGCGCCCUUGCCAGGUUGAUUGAAAAAUAUGGAACUCAUAUUAUUGUGGGGUUGAGCAUAGGAGGCCAAGACGUGAUCCUAGUCAGGCAAGAUAGAUCUUCCAACUUGGGUCCAUCUGAGCUCAAGAAACACUUGUACGACCUUGGAGACCAAUUAUUUACAGGGACAUGCAAUUUUUCAGCUAACUCUAAAUACCAUAAGAAAAAGGCACCAAAGGCAUUCAAUGUCUUUGAUCCACAACCUGCUACCUUCAAUAGCUUCUCAUCCAUGAGUGCAAAAGAUGGAAUCACGGUGAUAUGUACAAAGAGGGGUGGAGAUUUAUCAGCAAGUAGUCACUGCGAGUGGCUCCCGACUGUUCCAACGAACCCAGAUGCUAUUCACUAUAAUUUCAUACCUAUAACUUCUCUCCUCAAAGGUGCUCCUGGCAAAGGUUUCUUAUCACACGCUAUCAACCUUUAUCUUCGAUACAAGCCUCCUAUAUCUGAUCUACAAUACUUUCUUGAGUUCCAAUCUCACAAGAUUUGGGCUCCUAUUCACAAUGACCUCCCUCUAGGUCCUACUACAAAUAUGGCAAGUCAUUCACCAGCUCUCCACUUCAACUUCAUGGGUCCCAAAUUAUAUGUAAAUACUACUCAGGUUAUGGCAGGAAAAAGACCGGUAACUGGAAUGAGGUUCUAUCUUGAAGGCAUGAAAGGUAACAGGUUAGCCAUACACCUCCAACAUCUAUCGAAUACUCCAACUAUGCUUGAAAACAAGAUAGAUGAGACGCAGCUGUGGAGGGGAUCAGAAGAAAGCAAUAACGAAGGAUUCAUUGAACCUGUUUCUCGGAAAAUGUUCUCCCAUAUAUGCACAGCAUCUGUGAAAUACAACCCAAGAUGGAGUAGUAGAAGAGAAGAUGCAGCCUACAUUGUUACAGGAGCUCAACUUCACGUAAAGAAACACGACUCAAAGAAUGUCCUCCAUCUUCGGUUACUCUACUCCAAGGUUUCGGAUUCUAUUGUAGCACAAUCAAGAUGGGUUCAAGUCUCCUCUGAAUACUCACAAAAGUCUUCAGGCCUAUUCUCCGCCCUUAGCACAUCGAUAUCAGGAAAUCCAGCAAAAGAGAAACUACAGGCAGUGGUUGUGGAUUCUAGUGUGUUCCCAUCAGGACCUCCAGUGCCAGUGCAAACGCAGAAGCUUUUGAAGUUUGUGGACAUGUCACAGCUGAUAAGAGGCCCACAGGAUAGCCCUGGACAUUGGUUAGUGACUGGGGCUAAGCUGGACUUGGAUAGAGGGAAAAUUUGCCUGCAGGUUAAGUUCUCCCUGUUAAGUAUCUGUUCAUGAAACAGAAUUUUGCUAAUGCACUACCCUGAUUUUAUUUUAUUAUUUUUUUCUAAUAUAUAAUAUAGGCUAAUUCUCAAUGCCAUACCCAUAGAAUUGUGUACAUAGGCUGGUGGCUUUGAGAUUAGUUUUGCAAAUUAUUUCGUUCUUAUAAAGGCAUAUAUAUCAGAAUGUUUUGGUCAAUUAAUUAAUUGAGAUUAGCUUUAACGGAC
rnacentral:misc_RNA from 1 species